rnacentral:rRNA from 1 species
CGGAUUGCAGGCUGCAACUCGCCUGCAUGAAGCCGGAAUUGCUAGUAAUCGCGGAUCAGCAUGCCGCGGUGAAUACGUUCCCGGGCCUUGUACACACCGCCCGUCACACCAUGAGAGUUGAGAAUACCCGAAGCCCAUGUCAAAGUGGUCGAAGGUAGGCUUGAUGAUUGGGGUGAAGUCGUAACAAGGUAGC